rnacentral:misc_RNA from 1 species
GGGAUUGAAAAGGCUUGAAACCGAUAGACUUGAUGAUGAGGGAUUUAUCCUUCUUUUCUAUUUCAGUCCUUCUUGGUGUUUAGAGCUGCUGACUUUGCAACGAUGAAACGAUUUAACAUGCCAGGCACCUAAUCUUUUCAGAUUGGGUGUAAACCUGAACUCAUGGUCUCAAAUCAGGUAAGAGAACCCGCUGAACUUAA